rnacentral:tRNA from 1 species
GCUGGGAUAGCUCAGGUAGUAGAGCAUUCCCCUGAAGAGGGAAGGGUCGGCAGUGCAAAUCUGCCUCCCAGCACAA